GUAAACCGUCUGCCAUACACAUAGAUUUUUGCAUAGGAGUUAAAAAUUGCUUAGUGCAAACGCACAUUAAAGAAACGAAAUAUGGUGACGCGUUCGUUGUAAUAUUGCCUGAUGUAAAAGCCUUUGCAUGUUCAAAAAAUUAUAAGGUUAAGGAUAUUAAAAUAUACUUUAUAUAACUAAGAAAACUUAGCAGUGUUGAAACUCUUGAAGUUAUUGAAAGCAUUAUAAAUUUUAAUGAAGAUAUUGAGUGUAUAACCUAUAUUAUUCUCCAUGUGCUGGAAUCAUAAACUUGGUAAAAGAAUGUAACAGAGACCCACACUUCUAUGUAUARUAAUUCUGUAGAAUAUUCCAGUAUUGAAAGGAUUCCAUUUUUGCUAUAAUUAUUGGCAACAAAGAAGAUUUAAUACCAUUAUUAUAUUGGAAAGUGAAUCGCUCUUCUCCUUUGUGUUAAGGUGGAAAUAGUGGAUGUUAUUGGAGUACCUUAGCUUCUUUUACUAUUAUACUUUUCAAGAAAAUUAACUUUAUCG